rnacentral:rRNA from 1 species
UAAGCGAAUGGUGAAAUCUGGUGGCUUAACCAUUCAGACUAUUAUUCGAACUGUGAAACUCGAGAACAGCAGAGGUAAUUGGAAUUUCUAGUGUAGGAGUGAAAUCCGUAGAUAUUAGAAGGAACACCAAUGGCGUAGGCAGGUUACUGGGCUGUUUCUGACACUGAGGCACGAAAGCGUGGGGAGCGAACCGGAUUAGAUACCCGGGUAGUCCACGCUGUAAACGAUGGAUACUA